rnacentral:sRNA from 2 species
GUGGGGCGCGCCUAGGGUUCCGCCGGGCCGAGCGAAUCGGGCCGGGUCUGGUCCAAGAGGCGCAGGCGGCCGGCAUCGGAGCCCGGUCGUUCCACGGCGGGACAAAAGCCCGGGAGAC